AACGAACGCUGGCGGCAGGCUUAAUACAUGCAAGUCGAGCGGGCACUUCGGUGUCAGCGGCGCACGGGUGCGUAACGCGUGGGAACAUGCCUUUAGGUACGGAACAACCAAGGGAAACUUUGGCUAAUACCGUAUAAUAUCUCUGGAUCAAAGAUUUAUCGCCUAAAGAUUGGCCCGCGUUAGAUUAGGUAGUUGGUGGGGUAAUGGCCUACCAAGCCGACGAUCUAUAGGGGGUCUGAGAGGAUGAUCCCCCACACUGGAACUGAGACACGGUCCAGACUCCUACGGGAGGCAGCAGUAAGGAAUAUUGGACAAUGGGCGAAAGCCUGAUCCAGCCAUGCCGCGUGAGUGAUGAAGGCCUUAGGGUUGUAAAGCUCUUUUAGAUGGGAAGAUAAUGACUGUACCAACAGAAUAAGCCCCGGCUAAAUUCGUG
rnacentral:rRNA from 1 species